AUGGAGGCUGAAUUUUACAUGGCGAUUCUUACCUGCUUCAUCUUCGUGAACUCAGAGGGUUUUCAGAUUGUCCAUGUCCAGAAACAACAGUGUCUUUUCAAAAAUAAGAGAGUGGUCAUGGACUUGUGCAGUAGGACAAACCAGAACCAGCAGUGGAUGUGGACUGAGGAUGGAAAGCUCCUUCAUGUUAAAUCUGCUCUGUGCCUGGGCAUCUCCAAUUCCUCUGGUGGCCCUGGCCGGGCCGCCAUCUUUGCCCCCUGCUCCCAGGCUCCUCGAUGGACUUGCUAUGAGAAGGAAGGGUUCCUUGAGGUGGAAAAUGCCUCUCUCUUUCUCAAGAAACAAGGCUCCAGGGCAGUGGUCAAGAACGGCAGAAAGUACCUCCAUAGCUGGAUGAAAAUAGAUGUCAACGAGGAAGGAAAGCCAGUCAGUGAAAGCCUCUGCUCUAAAAAAGCUGGCCCGGGAACUGAAGUCUCGGUAAGGAGCAUUAGAAACACAGCUCCUCCCCAGACCCCCGCUACUUUUAAUGCACUUCCAUAUAGCCCGGGACACCUUAUUAGAAAUACCACCGAGGCCUUCACCAGAAGUACCCCGGAAAACUACAGCCAGAACAGCAGCCAGAGGGAGCAUCCCAGUCUAUGGAUGGCUGGAAUGACAUCUUGGGUUCCCUGGACUACUCCACCCUUCUCCAGCACCACGGAAGAGACUGGACUGGGGGAGCCAGUGAGAUGCAACUUCACCUUGACAGAGUCCAGGGUCUCCAGCCGGUCCGUGUCUCUCCAGUGGAGAACUUUGGCGUUCCCCUGUAACUUUAACCUCACCUACAGCAGUGACACGUCGGGGGUCGCGUGGUGCCACCCUGUACGGAUAGACAACACCACCUAUGGAUGUAACUCCAAGGAUUUACAAGCAGGAACCAUCUACAAUUUCACUAUUAUGUCUCUGGAUGGAGAAAAGAAAACUAUGGUCUUGCAAACAGAUCCUUUACCUCCUGCUAGGUUUGAAGUCAGUAAAGAGAAAACUACUUCUACCAGUUUGCAUGUUUGGUGGACUCCUUCCUCGGGAAAAGUCACCUGGUAUGAGGUACAGUUACUUGACGAUAACCAAAAGAUACAGAUGGCCCAAAUUCAAGAAAGAGCUUCACGGAAUGAAUACACGUUUUUCAACCUCACUGCUGGUAAUAAGUAUAAAAUUGCCAUCACAGCUGUUUCUGGGGAUAAACGUUCCUCUACAAUGUAUGCCAAUGGAUCAACAGUGCCAUCCCCAGUGAAAGACAUUGGUGUUUUGGCGAAAACUAAUUCGCUCCUGAUUUCCUGGUCACGUGGCUCUGGGAACGUGGAACGAUACCAGCUGAUGUUAAUGGAUAAAGGGAUUCUAGUUCAUAGUAAUGCUGUGGACACUACUUUCUACACUUUUCAUGGACUGACGCCUGGUCACCUCUAUAAUGUCACCAUUGUUAGUGAGGCUGCAGGGCUGCAAAACUACAGAUGGAAAUCAGCCAGGACAACCCCCAUGGAAGUCUCAAAUCUGAAGGUGACGAAUGAAGGCACUACGACUUCUCUAAAAGUCAAGUGGCAAAAGCCUUCCGGAAAUGUGGAUUUCUACAACAUUACCCUGUCUUACCAAGGGACCAUCAAACAAUCCAGAAUAUUAGCAUCCCAGAUUACUGAAAGUCAAUUUAAAGACUUGGCCCCUGGACGACUUUAUCAAGUCACCAUCAGCUGUGUGUCUGGUGAAUUAUCUGCUCACAAGACAGCAGUGGGCAGAACAGUUCCACAGAAAGUUGAGGACCUGGAGGCAAACAGCAAUGGUUCUACGAAGUCCCUGGUGGUAAGCUGGUCGCCCCCUGCUGGAGACUGGGAGCGCUAUCGUAUCCUGCUCUGGAAUGAUUCUUCGGUGCUGCUCAACAUCACCGUGGGAAAGGAGGAAACACGCUAUGUCAUAGAUGACGUGGGGCUUAUACCGGGAAGACAGUAUGAGAUAGAAGUCACUGUUGAGAGCGGAAAUCUGAAGAAUUCUACGCGUUGCCAAGGCAGGACAGUUCCCCUGGCUGUCCUUCAUCUUCGUGUCAAACAUGCCAAUGAAACCUCGCUGACCAUCAUGUGGCAGACCCCUGCAGCAGAAUGGGAGAAAUACAUCAUUUCACUCAUCGACAGAGACCUCUUACUCAUCCAUAAGUUGCUUCCCAGAGAUGCCAAAGAAUUCACUUUCACUGACCUGGUGCCUGGACGAAAAUACAUAGCUACAGUCACCAGUAUUAGUGGAGACCUCAAAAAUUCAUCUUUAACAAAAGGAAGAACAGUGCCUGCCCAAGUGACUGGUUUGCAUGUGGCCAACCAAGGGACAACAAACAGUCUGUUUACUAACUGGACCCAGGCCUUGGGAGACAUAGAGUUCUACCAAGUCCUACUGAUCCAUGAAAAUGUGGUCAUCAAAAAUGAAAGUGUCUCCAGUGAGACUAGCAGAUACAGCUUCCACUCCCUCAAAUCAGGCAGCCUCUACUCCGUGGUGGUAACAACAGUAAGCGGAGGGAUCUCUUCCCGACAAGUGGUGGUGGAGGGAAGGACAGUCCCUUCCAGUGUGAGUGGAGUAACGGUAAACAACUCUGGCCGCAGUGACUACCUCAGCAUAUCCUGGCUGCCGGCUCCCGGAGACGUGGAUAGCUAUGUGGUGACGCUCUCCCACGGCGGCAGGGUGGUCCAGUCCCUCGUGACUGCCAAGUCUGUCGGUGAAUGUUCCUUCAGCUCCCUCACCCCAGGCCGCCUCUACAACGUGACCAUAACUACGAGGAGCGGCAAAUAUGAAAGUCAUUCCUUCAGCCAAGAACGGACAGUGCCUAACAAGGUCCAGGGAGUCAGUAUCAGCAACUCGGCCAGGAGUGACUAUUUAAAGGUAUCCUGGGUACAUGCCUCUGGAGACUUUGAUCACUAUGAAGUCACCAUUAAAAACAAAAACAACUUCAUUCAAACAAAAAGCGUUCCCAAGUCUGAAAAUGAGUGUGUAUUUGUUAAACUAGUCCCUGGACGGUUGUACAGUGUUACUGUUAGUACAAAAAGUGGACAAUAUGAAGCCAGUGAACAAGGGAAUGGAAGAACAAUCCCAGAGGCUGUUAAGGAUCUCACGCUGAAGAACAGGAGCACUGAGGACCUUUGGGUGACAUGGACACGAGCUGAUGGGGAUGUCGACCAGUACGAGAUCCAGCUGCUCUUCAACGAUAUGAAAGUAUUUCCUCCUUUCCACCUCGUCAGCACUGUGACUGAGUAUCGAUUCACCUCCCUCACACCAGGGCGCAAGUAUAAAAUUCUUGUCUUGACGAUUAGUGGAGAUGUCCAGCAGUCAGCCUUCAUUGAAGGCUUCACAGUUCCUAGUGUGGUCAAAAAUAUUCACAUUUCUCCCAGUGGAGCAACAGAUAGCCUGACAGUGAACUGGACUCCUGGUGGGGGUGAUGUGGAUUCCUAUGUGGUGUCAGCAUUCAGGCAGAAUCAAAUGGUCGAGUCUCAGACUGUCCUCAAGCAUGUCUCUGAGCACACGUUCCAGAGGCUGGAGGCUGGCGAGCAGUACCGGAUUGUGAUCGCUUCUGUCAGCGGGUCCCAGAAGAACCAGAUCGAUGCGCUUGGGCGGACAAUCCCAGCAUCUGUCCAGGGAAUAACUGCAGACAAUGCAUACAGUAGUCAUUCUUUAAUAGUAAGUUGGCAAAAAGCUGUUGGCAUGGCAGAAAGAUAUGACAUCCUACUUCUGAGUGAAAAUGGGAUCCUCCUAAGUAACACAUCAGAGGCAGCCACCACGAAGCAGCACAAGUUUGAAGACCUAACACCAGGAAAGAAGUACAAGAUACAGAUCCUAACUGUCAGCGGAGGCCUCUUUAGCAAGGAAGCCCAAACAGAAGGCCGAACAGUCCCAGCAGCUGUCACCAAUCUGAGGAUCACAGAGAACUCCACGCGACACCUGUCCUUUAGCUGGACCCCCUCAGAGGGGGAGCUCAACUCCUACAACAUCUUUCUGUACAACCCAGAUCGAACUCUUAAGGAUCGAGCUCAAGUUGACCCGCAAGUCCAGAGCUUCUCCUUCCAGAACUUGCUACAAGGUCGAAUGUACAGAAUGGUGAUUGUAACUCACAGUGGGGAGCUGUCAAAUGAGUCUUUCAUAUUUGGGAGAACAGUCCCAGCCACUGUGAGUAACCUCAAAGGAUCCAAUCAAAACAUGACAGACAGCCUCUGGUUCAGCUGGAGUCCAGCCCCUGGGGACUUUGACUUUUAUGAACUGAUUCUCUAUAACCCCAAUGGCACAAAGAAGGAAAACUGGAAAGACAAGGACCUGACAGAGUGGCGUUUUCAUGGCCUCGUUCCCGGAAGGAAGUAUACUCUGUGUGUGAUAACUCACAGUGGAGAUCUCAGCAACAGGGCCAUGGGAGAGAGCAGAACAGCCCCAAGUCCUCCCAGUCUUAUGUCAUUUGCUGAUGUUACAAACACAUCACUGGCCAUCACCUGGAAAGGCCCACCAGACUGGACAGACUAUGAUGACUUUGAGCUGCAGUGGUUCCCCAGAGAUGCCAUCACAGUCUUCAACCCCUACAGCAACAGAAAAUCAGAAGGACGCAUCGUGCAUGGUCUUCGUCCAGGGAGAUCUUAUCAAUUUAGCGUCAAGACCGUCAGUGGUGAUUCCUGGAAAACCUACAGCAAACCAAUUUUUGGAUCUGUGAGGACAAAGCCAGACAAGAUACAGAACCUGCAUUGCCGCCCUCAGAACUCUACAGCCAUUGCCUGUUCUUGGAUCCCUCCCGAUUCUGACUUUGAUGGGUACAGCAUUGAGUGCCGGAAAAUGGACACUCAAGAAGUUGAGUUCUCCAGAAAGCUGGAGAAAGAAAAAUCUCUGCUUAACAUCAUGAUGUUGGUGCCUCAUAAGAGGUACCUGGUGUCUAUCAAGGUGCAGUCGGCAGGCAUGACCAGCGAGGUGGUUGAGGACAGCACCAUCACCAUGAUAGACCGCCCCCCUCCUCCACCUCCACAUAUUCGUGUGAAUAAAAAGGAUGUGCUAAUUAGCAAAUCUUCCAUCAACUUUACUUUCAACUGCAGCUGGUUCAGCGACGCCAAUGGAGCUGUGAAAUACUUCACAGUGGUGGUGAGAGAGGCUGAUGGCAAUGACGAGCUGAAGCCAGAGCCACAGCACCCCCUGCCCUCCUACCUGGAAUACAGGCACAACGCCUCCAUUCGGGUGUAUCAGACCGAUUACUUUGCCAGCAAAUGUGCCGAAAGUCCUGACAGCAACUCUAAGAGUUUCAACAUUAAGCUUGGAGCAGAGAUGGAGAGCCUGGGUGGAAAAUGUGAUCCCAAUCAGCAAAAAUUUUGUGACGGGCCACUGAAGCCGCGCACGGCCUACAGAAUCAGCAUUCGGGCUUUCACCCAGCUAUUUGAUGAGGACCUGAAGGAAUUCACAAAACCACUCUAUUCAGACACAUUUUUCUCUUUGCCCAUCACCACUGAGUCAGAGCCUCUGUUUGGAGUUAUUGAAGGUGUGAGUGCUGGUCUGUUCUUAAUUGGCAUGCUUGUCGCUGUUGUCGCCUUAUUCAUCUGCAGACGGAAAGCCAGCCAUGGUCGAGAAAGGCCCUCUGCCCGUCUGAGCAUUCGUCGGGAUCGACCACUGUCAGUCCACUUGAACUUGGGCCAGAAAGGUAGCAGGAAGACUUCUUGCCCAAUAAAAGUAAAUCAGUUUGAAGGGCACUUCAUGAAGCUGCAGGCUGACUCCAACUAUCUUCUAUCCAAGGAAUACGAGGAUUUAAAAGACGUGGGUCGAAACCAAUCAUGUGACAUUGCACUCUUGCCGGAGAACAGAGGGAAAAAUCGAUACAACAACAUAUUGCCCUAUGAUUCCUCUCGAGUGAAGCUGUCCAACGUGGAUGAUGACCCAUGCUCUGACUAUAUCAAUGCCAGCUACAUCCCUGGCAACAACUUCAGGAGAGAAUACAUCGCAACUCAGGGACCUCUUCCUGGCACCAAGGAUGACUUCUGGAAAAUGGCGUGGGAACAGAAUGUUCACAACAUCGUCAUGGUGACCCAGUGUGUGGAGAAGGGCCGAGUAAAGUGUGACCAUUAUUGGCCAGCGGACCAAGAUUCCCUCUACUAUGGGGACCUCAUUCUGCAGAUGCUGUCGGAAUCCGUGCUGCCCGAGUGGACCAUCCGGGAAUUUCGGAUAUGCAGUGAGGAACAGUUGGAUGCACACAGACUCAUCCGCCACUUCCACUACACCGUAUGGCCAGACCACGGUGUCCCGGAGAGCACCCAGUCCCUGAUCCAGUUUGUGAGAACUGUCAGGGACUACAUCGACAGGACCCCCGGGGCCGGGCCCACUGUGGUGCACUGCAGGUACUCUUCACCCGGAGCCAGCAGCAUGGCAGCCGGGUGUCUAGGCGUGGGGAAGGGGGAGGGGGGAGGGUCUGUGUGCCCAACCAGGCUGCCUGGGCCCAGCAGGUAUUCUUACGCCCUCUUCCACCCACUGCUCCCCAACCUCACUCCUUUGCCGUCUCUUCACCUCCCAUUUUUCUCUCUGGCUCUCCAUCCUUCUCUCCCUCUUGCUUUUUCUCCUACUGUAUCCAAUGCAAAGCCCUUAUGUGACUUCCAGGUCCCUCAUCAUUGGGCCCCAUCUCACCCCCUCAAUCCAAGUUCCCAGAAACUCAUCUCCCCCUUUAGCUGGGGAGGACUGCUCAUGGUCCUCCCUGCCUCCUGCCAUUCUUUCUCCUUGGAGUGGCCCCGCUCUCUCCUCCACCUGUAUAAACCAUAA
rnacentral:lncRNA from 1 species